rnacentral:lncRNA from 1 species
CAGCAAUGCCGCAGGAAGGCCACUCGCCGAUUUUACAGAUGAGUAUGCUGGGGCCACGGACGGGAAAAAGGCCCCCAGAUUGUGAGGCGUGAUUGAACCCAGGUCUGUCUGAUUCCAAAGCCGAGGCUGCUGAAAAUAACUUGUGUAGAAAGGGAAAGAGAGGGGAGGGCAGAGGGAGGAGCAGAAGGAAGAAGGUAACGGAGAGAGAGGAGGGAGGGAGGGAAGAGGAGAGAGGGGAGAGGGGAAAGAAAGAAACAGAGAGGAGGGAGGGAGGGAAGGAGGGGACACUUCCUCUUCUUUGAGCCUCAAAGGCUUGCGCAGGUGGAGAAACAUGUCCUUCACCAUCCGAGGAGCCUUAGAAGCUCACCUUCCUCUCCCCACGAUCCUCAACCCUUAAGUAAGACAGAUUUACACUUAGAAACCAUCUAGUCUAACUCUUUCAUUUCAAAGAUAAUAACUGGAAGCACAGAGAGGUUAAGUCACUUGCCUAAGGUCACACAGCUCCCUAGAGUCAGAAGUCAGAGCCAGCCUGACUCCAAACCCCUCUCCUCCCCACUCUGCCAGGUUUGCCCAGGGGCCUAAGAGCAUUUCAUCCACACCCUUACUGCAGAUGGGAACACUGGAUCCAGAGAAAGCAAGGGACUCGCCCGAAGUCACCCCGCAGUUAGCAGCAGAGCAGCCGUCCCAAAGUCUCCUGGUCCACGGGACAGGUUAUUCCCACAAUGCAACGGGGACCCUACACACCACCAUGUAAAGGUUCAUUGUGACUAGAGACCCGCAGUUCUCAGGGCGCGGUUUCCGGGCCAACAGCCGCAGCGUCACUGGGGAGCUCGUCAGAAAGGCGGACGGUCAGGCCCCACCGCAGACCUGCCGGAUCACCCCUCUCGGGGAGGCCCAGACGGCUGUGCGCUAACGAGCUGCCAGGGGAUUCUGGUGCUCGCUCAAGUCUGAGACCCACGGAUACACGCGUUUCCAUCAGGGAUAUGUUCUGGAUGCCGGAACACACCCCCGCGUCCCUCCGGUGAACAGUGAUGGAAAACGGAGGUGCUGGGACCAGACGGGAUGGAUUUGAUGGAAUCCCCGUCUCCACCACCGUGAGCUGUGUGAGCUGGGCAAGUGCUUUCACCUCUCUGAGCCUCAGUUUCCUCACCUGCUGUGGACGGAGGAGGAGAAGACGGGGAAGGAGCGCUCACGGGUUCCUAACCCUCUGCCUGAAGCUUCCUCAGUCCCCCUGGUCAUAGGAUAACCUGCGCCCGCCACAGAGGCUGUCAAACCACAGGAACCUUCAGAGACGCGAAGGAUUCUCCGGAAGUCCAAGCUCUGCCUAUUUUGGAUUUCCUUUAGGAAUGGGAGCUCCGUUUCAGCCAAUGACAGGCUGUGUGGCCUUGGUUCGAUAUUUGAAACUUACAGAAGAGUAGCAACAAAGUACGAAGAACUUCCUUAUGCCUUCACCCUAAGUCACCCAUCAUUUAUAUUUUGCCCCAUUUGCUUUAUCCUCCCCUCCCCCGCCCCUCCCUGGCUCUCUCUCUCUGCGCAUCUUUUCUGGAACCCCUCCCAUUUUGCAUAUGGGAAAACCACGACCCAAGGAGUCGCCCCGGCCCCUUGGCGCAACAUCAGAGGCCCGGACCCUGAGGUCCAUCGGCUUGUCGAGGGCCUACGGAGACAUCUGAAACCUGAAAUUACAGGCAGACCGACCCCAGAACACCAACGGGCAACUCAAAAAUCAAAAUUAAUAAAUGUCUGAUUGAAUGUCUACAAUUCAUUAGCGA